rnacentral:rRNA from 1 species
CCCUUAGAUGUUCUGGGCUGCACGCGCGCUACACUGAAGCUAUCAACACGUUUUCCCUCCCUGAGAAGGGCGGGUAACCUUUUGAAUCAGCUUCGUGGUAGGGAUCGGGGCUUGCAAUAGUUCCCCGUGAACCAGGAAUUCCUAGUAGACGCGAGUCAUAAGCUCGCAUCGAUUAAGUCCCUGCCCUUUGUACACACCGCCCGUCGCUACUACCGAUUGAACGUUUUAGUGAGGCAUUUGGACCGACGCAUCUCAGUUUAACCGCUGGUUUGUGUUGGAAAGACUUCCAAACUUGAGCGUUUAGAGGAAGUAAAAGUCGUAACA